AGUGAACGCUGGCGGUAGGCCUAACACGUGCAAGUCGAACGGCGGCACAGUAAGAGCUUGCUCUUACGGGUGGCGAGUGGCGGACGGGUGAGGAAUACAUCGGAAUCUACUUUUUCGUGGGGGAUAACGUAGGGAAACUUACGCUAAUACCGCAUACGACCUACGGGUGAAAGCAGGGGAUCUUCGGACCUUGCGCGAUUGAAUGAGCCGAUGUCGGAUUAGCUAGUUGGCGGGGUAAAGGCCCACCAAGGCGACGAUCCGUAGCUGGUCUGAGAGGAUGAUCAGCCACACUGGAACUGAGACACGGUCCAGACUCCUACGGGAGGCAGCAGUGGGGAAUAUUGGACAAUGGGCGCAAGCCUGAUCCAGCCAUACCGCGUGGGUGAAGAAGGCCUUCGGGUUGUAAAGCCCUUUUGUUGGGAAAGAAAAGCAGCAGGUUAAUACCCCGCUGUUCUGACGGUACCCAAAGAAUAAGCACCGGCUAACUUCGUG
rnacentral:rRNA from 1 species